rnacentral:rRNA from 1 species
AGGAUGAACGCUGGCGGCGUGCCUAAUACAUGCAAGUCGAGCGAACGGACGAGAAGCUUGCUUCUCUGAUGUUAGCGGCGGACGGGUGAGUAACACGUGGAUAACCUACCUAUAAGACUGGGAUAACUUCGGGAAACCGGAGCUAAUACCGGAUAAUAUUUUGAACCGCAUGGUUCAAAAGUGAAAGACGGUCUUGCUGUCACUUAUAGAUGGAUCCGCGCUGCAUUAGCUAGUUGGUAAGGUAACGGCUUACCAAGGCAACGAUGCAUAGCCGACCUGAGAGGGUGAUCGGCCACACUGGAACUGAGACACGGUCCAGACUCCUACGGGAGGCAGCAGUAGGGAAUCUUCCGCAAUGGGCGAAAGCCUGACGGAGCAACGCCGCGUGAGUGAUGAAGGUCUUCGGAUCGUAAAACUCUGUUAUUAGGGAAGAACAUAUGUGUAAGUAACUGUGCACAUCUUGACGGUACCUAAUCAGAAAGCCACGGCU